UUUAUGGAGAGUUUGAUCCUGGCUCAGGAUGAACGCUGGCGGCGUGCCUAAUACAUGCAAGUCGAGCGAACGGACGAGAAGCUUGCUUCUCUGAUGUUAGCGGCGGACGGGUGAGUAACACGUGGAUAACCUACCUAUAAGACUGGGAUAACUUCGGGAAACCGGAGCUAAUACCGGAUAAUAUUUUGAACCGCAUGGUUCAAAAGUGAAAGACGGUCUUGCUGUCACUUAUAGAUGGAUCCGCGCUGCAUUAGCUAGUUGGUAAGGUAACGGCUUACCAAGGCAACGAUGCAUAGCCGACCUGAGAGGGUGAUCGGCCACACUGGAACUGAGACACGGUCCAGACUCCUACGGGAGGCAGCAGUAGGGAAUCUUCCGCAAUGGGCGAAAGCCUGACGGAGCAACGCCGCGUGAGUGAUGAAGGUCUUCGGAUCGUAAAACUCUGUUAUUAGGGAAGAACAUAUGUGU
rnacentral:rRNA from 1 species